AUUGAACGCUGGCGGCAGGCCUAACACAUGCAAGUCGAGCGGCAGCACUUCGGGUGGCGAGCGGCGAACGGGUGAGUAAUACAUGGGAAUCUGCCCAGUAGUGGGGGAUAACUUCGGGAAACUGGAGGUAAUACCGCAUACGUCCUACGGGAGAAAGCAGGGGAUCGCAAGACCUUGCGCUAUUGGAGGAGCCCAUGUCCGAUUAGCUAGUUGGUGAGGUAAAGGCUCACCAAGGCAACGAUCGGUAACUGGUCUGAGAGGAUGGUCAGUCACCAUGGAACUGAGAAACGGUCCAGACUCCUACGGGAGGCAGCAGUGGGGAAUAUUGGACAAUGGGGGCAACCCUGAUCCAGCCAUGCCGCGUGUGUGAAGAAGGCCUUCGGGUUGUAAAGCACUUUAAGCAGGGAGGAAGGCUCGUACGUUAAUACCGUGCGGGAGUGACGUUACCUGCAGAAUAAGCACCGGCAAACUCCGUGCCAGCAGCCGCCGUAA
rnacentral:rRNA from 1 species